rnacentral:rRNA from 1 species
GAUGAACGCUAGCGGCAGGCCUAAUACAUGCAAGUCGAACGGUGUCUUCGGACAUAGUGGCGCACGGGUGCGUAACACGUAUGCAACCUACCUUACAUUGGGGGAUAGCCUUUCGAAAGGGAGAUUAAUACCGCAUAAGACAGUAACUAGGCAUCUAGUAGCUGUUAAAGAUUUAUCGAUGUAAGCUGGGCAUGCGUCCAAUUAGCUAGUUGGUGAGGUAAUGGCUCACCAAGGCUAUGAUUGGUAGGGGAACUGAGAGGUCAAUCCCCCACACUGGCACUGAGAUACGGGCCAGACUCCUACGGGAGGCAGCAGUAGGGAAUAUUGGGCAAUGGACGCAAGUCUGACCCAGCCAUGCCGCGUGCAGGAUGAAGGCGUUAUGCGUUGUAAACUGCUUUUAUACAGGAAGAAACGACUCUUGCGAGAGGCAUUGACGGUACUGUAUGAAUAAGCACCGGCUAACUCCGUGCCAG